AGUGUCUUACCAACUAGACCACCGAGAUUGCCCGGUUUGUUUCUGUAGUUUAUUGUUUUAGGAGAUAUUGUCUGGCUUGAUGGAAAUGGGUAAACAUUUUGGGUGUCUGAAGGACCACUUGGUGUCUGUGGGUGUUUGGAAAUGGUUGUAGAAUUCAUUGAGGUGUAUUGGCUGAACCAAAGGAGAUGGUAUUCGCAGGUGCCUGCAGGAAUCAAAGAUAGUGUUUUGAGGAUUGCCUACGUAACAUCCUGGAAGCCGUGGACCAUCUUCUGACAAAGAGGGCAGUAACACUCGGGUGUAUUGAGCCAGGUGAGAUGGAGUCCAGCUUCGUUGAUGAUGGGGGCUCCCAUAGCUCCUCACCCCCAUGCACACCAGAGGAAAUCCUCAUUCCAUUCCAUGCCCUCCAUGGACAUGAACAACGACUCUUCAGCUCUCCAGAUGAUCUCUACACAUGCCGGAAUAAGUCAUCAGAGUUCAACGAGGAACCAAGUCAAAUGAGCAGGGAACAGAUGCUGCAGUCCAAACAAAAGUCUAAAGGAGUCGGUAAAAGAUCCGAUGCAUGCUUACAAACCGUUCUAGGACUCCUCGACUGAUAGGAAAGAUCUAAAUUCGGGGAAAGGGUUCCGCCACCUCCCUCCAUGUUUGCCAGCGAGCUGAAUUGUCUCUCGGGUGGGUGGCCGACGAGGGGGGAAACCGGGCCGGAUAUCUACGAGACGGGUGCGGGGACAGCGGGGAGAACACCUGUUUCUCAUUGGAGAUUCCGCGAGUGAGUCUCGUCGGUGGGGAUAUCGUUGACGAAGAUGAGGAGUCCGUCCCCCACUGUGAGUUCUCGUCUAGAUUCUCGCUGCUGUGUCGCCCGCGUUUGUUCUUUGCACCAGCUGUAACGACAACGCUGCCCCGGUCUGGCUGCGACGACACUGGAGUGCUCAGCCGGUCCUCACAACCUGUCCUUGCAAUAAUUUGGGGCUGCUCGGGAAGCGGCUGUCGAUGAUGGGUGCCGCUCGAGGCAAAGACAUAGACCUUGCCAGGAAUUGAAUAUCAUAACGCGCACAAAUUCACUAAGCAGAACUGGGCAACUGAGUCGUACUGCAUUUGUACUGCUUUACGACCAGAUUCCCAGAUAGCUUAUUGCUUAGCAGAGAAAGUUGUCCAGAGGCAGCUUCAUCACCUGAAACAUCUUUGUACCUGAUUUUUGCUGUUUUAUAGUAAUCAUCGUUGAUGUUGUAAAAUCUUCAAAAUUUAAAUUAUUGUGUAAUUAUAAAUGGCCAAGCGAGGGAGACAUUUCUAGGAAAUUUUGUGAGCUUCAUUAUGAAGAAGAGAAAACAGUUGGGAAAAUGAAAAUGGUUGUCCAGAAAUAAGCGGUCCUCUUACACAAACGAAGGUUUUAGGCCGCAACAAAUUUGAGUUGUCGAAAUAGUCUACCUCUUUUUGAAGUCUCCAGUGACUUGGAGUGUGAACUCAACUUGAGAUUUGUUUCUCCAAUAUAAUUCUUGAAUCCAAUAUUGGCAACCACUAAAUUUUCCCUAAAAAGGAAUGUAAAAACCUGUUAUUUCACACACUUGAACCCUGUUUUUUAAUGUUUUUUGACCAUCAGUCAACAUGUGUAUUAGCCAAGGCAUGGAGUGAGCAAAAUGUGUAAUUGACUGAACAGAGGUGCAAGAACUUGUAACUUGUCUGCCUUUUAAUACACUUAGUUUGGGUUCAUUGGGCCAGUGUGCAACCUAUCAAGCUGCUAUCAGCAAUUUUGGUGAUGAGUUGAAUUUAUUUGUAAUGUCUGGUACCUGGUAGAUUACAAAUGAACACUCGGUUUGAAAUUCCUCAGAAUAUUGCUGCAUAAUGUAGAGCAAGUUUUGAAAUACCCAAAACACGAGGGUACCGAAGUACAUGUAUGACCAAUUUGAAGGUUGCAAAACACUACUGAAUAUGUGUCUGUAAUAUUAGGACCAAUGGGAGACUUAAGAUUGCUAGGUGGCAGCAAACACGAGGGUACUGAAGUACAUGUAUGACCAAUUUGAAGGUUGCAAAACACUACUGAAUAUGUGUCUGUAAUAUUAGGACCAAUGGGAGACUUAAGAUUGCUAGGUGGCAGCAAACACGAGGGUACCGAAGUACAUGUAUGACCAAUUUGAAGGUUGCAAAACACUACUGAAUAUGUGUCUGUAAUAUUAGGACCAAUGGGAGACUUAAGAUUGCUAGGUGGCAGCAAACACGAGGGUACCAAAGAACAUGCAUGACCAAUUUGAAGGUUGCAAAACACUACUGAACAUGUGUCUGUAAUAUUAGGACCAAUGGGAGACUUAAGAUUGCUAGGUGGCAGCAAACACGAGUGUACUGAAGUACAUGUAUGACCAAUUUGAAGGUUGCAAAACACUACUGAAUAUGUGUCUGUAAUAUUAGGACCAAUGGGAGACUUAAGAAUGCUAGGUGGCAGCAGACUAACCAGUCAAAUGGCCAUUGUUUAUGUAGUUUUGAGCAUGUGCCCAUUACCAAGAACAAUGAAUUUACCUGGGCAUACUCCUAAGUGAUCUUUUUAUUUUGGUUGUGAAACCCUGCGCUGAAGUGUCCUAAGCACUGUAUUCUUGGUACUUUCUGAUUCUUUGCUGAAAAAGAACUCCACAGGCAAACUUGUUUAUUAUUAAUACCCACUUAUUUUUGCUUAGCAGUGUACAUGAGGCUAAGUGGCUCUAUGUGAUCACUCCCAGGUCAUACAUAGUUAUUAGGUCGGAAGUUUUAUCAAUCAAAAUUAAACUGCCAUGAUAUGAAAGAACAGAUGUUCACUCUCAAAAGAAAAUGCCUAGUUUGGGGGAUUUCUGUUUGUUUUUUGUUUUCACGUUUGAGCUGGAAAGUUUGGGACAAAAAAGUAAUAUGAGUUGAAUGUGAGUAUGUGACCAAUUGGAGAUGUUUGGAUGGUCCUUUUGUAACAGCUCUUGCGUGUAGUGCACAUGCUCAUACCUAUGCGCGCCAAUACUGAGCUGCAAAAAAAAGGGACUGUUAAGUCUGCUGCCAUCAGCGUCUUUAAAGUCUUUGGAAGGCAACUGUCUUAAACUUAUAGUGUUGUAUACUGCAUGGCUCUCAUCGAAUAACUGGUUCUGUAGAAAUGUACUGCAGUAUCAUUUCCAUGGUUUUAUUUUUACUGAUUUCCUUGGUACUGUUUAGGAGAGAAUCUGACCAAGGACCUCAUUCAAUCUGAGAGUCCCUGAUCAGAUAGUUUUCUACUCAAUAGUAAAACUGUAUAUCUCGCCAAUAUGUACACAGAUAUCUUUUUAAAACCCAACAAAUGGUAAUGACAGAUAAUCAGCAUUUUCUGAAAGAGUUAGCCUGGAUGGUUCUGAAUUCCUGCGAAUGCGAAUGCACUAAGAAUUUUGACAGUGAAUAGUUCGCAACACUUGAGCUGUGUUCAACUCUUGCAGUAUAUUCACUGCGAAAACAGCCCUUUGGUGUCGAUAUUUGCUCUGCAUUGGCAGGAAGUAUGAACUAGGCUUUAGACAUGCCCAUCAGCCCCAUCAGGAGACGUUUAAUAAGAUUAUUUAUGAAUAUCUAAAUAUCA